AAUGCAGAGCUAGUUCUUGGAGGUGGUACAGGAGCUAGGCCUUCCCCCUGCCUUGCUAAGUGUUGAGAAGCUGCAGAGUUCAUUCUAACACACCUCUGGUCUCAGUGAUGCCUCUUUGUAAAGUGGAACAAUUUCAGGCUUAAGGACUUCUGAGUUGAUUUGGGUAGAAAGGAAGCUGCUGUCUUCUGGGAGGAACCUAGACCUGGCUCUGCACCUGGCUGGGGCUGGCACCAGCUGAGGACAGCAGCCCCGCGGGAUGGUAAAACAGCCCUGGACUUUUGACUUGCAUGGACCAAGCUAGUGCCCUGGAAAGCCAGGUUUGCUGCUUUCUUGCACUUGAGGAUGUGCAGAGGUAGAUGCUGAGCUGUGUCUCUGCCCUGCACCAUCCCUUCCUCUUCCUCCCCAGGAUGCUACUGGACACCACCACAUACUGAGGACAUGUUGAAGGGAUCAUCGGAGCAGCACUGAGGCCAAGCUCCAUGGCAGGAAUGCCAAGCUGCCACCCACGGCUCACCAUGAACCCCUAGCCAAAGCACCCAGGCUGGGAGCUGCUACCCUCAAUGGAAAACCGGGCAGGUUUCCACUUGGGUCUGCCUGGGCUGCACCACAAUUUUGUUGCAAGAGCACAUUUUUGGGAAAACUUCCAUUGAAAUUUUAAGACAAACGAAUGGAAAAUUUCCAUCUCUACCACUGACUAGACCUCUUAGCGUGUAGUUGCUGACUAGGUCUAAUGACUAUUAUGUCAGCCAUUGAGAACUAGCCGAGCAUGCCAAGGUUUACUGAAAAUUAACACCAGAGCCAGCUGCUUUGUGGCUUAUCUAGUUCUGCUGACCUUCUUUCAGAUAAAUGUUGUUUAACAUCAUCUUUGAUUACUUAUGGACUAGAGAGGACUUUGCCCUCUAAUGAGUGUCCCUUGUUCUGCUUCUUUCCAAAUCCCAAACUGAUAUAUUUAUUGAUAAUUUCUGUUUUUUUUUUUUUUUUUUUUUCUUUCUAUAUCAUUCCUGACAUUCUUAUCAUGUCCAUUGAGUGACACAGCUCUAUGUCUGCUAGAAUCCCUAAUACAUUUUUUAUUUUUUCUCCUUGAAGGCAUGCUUUUUUUCCUUUUCUCUAACUCCCCUCAUUCACUUGCCUUAAAUUUAUCAUGUUUAAUUACACAGACUCCUGAUGCAAGAAAUUUUCAGCUCACAAAACAUGAAGACAGAGCAAAGGAGAAUUAAAGGAUGUGUAACCACAGGGAGAAGAUCCAGGAGAGCUUCAUGUCCCAGACCAGCAGCAGGGCAGACAGAGGUGGCAACAUGGACUCCAGGCUGAUGGUGCAGGAGGGGAGGUGAGAAGAUGCUGAGGGCAGCCUUUGGAUGCAACAUGGGUAUCAUUCAUGCUGUGGCAAUUUAACAAGUUUUUGGGUCUACAGUGCCCCCUGGCUAGUGUGCAGGCUGUGAGUGAGGGCUAGGGGGCACGGGGAAUGUGGUUCUCAUAUGAGCUCAUUGGUGCUAGUUAGACCCAUAUAUUUUGGGCUACGAUUAUACACCAGACAACUAUGUAACAGCAGGAAAACCUACAGCUGCAGCGAUAGGAAACAUUAAUACAGAGCGCUACCAUCUGGUGCGCGCUCCCAGCAGCGGCUAUACUUAGCUGCUGUGCUGCGUAUCCCGGCUAAUCCCCUGCUCUGAAGUGCGACACAUUCAGUGUUGUGCAGAUAACCUCACUUUUAAUGCCAGCCAUUCUCUACCCGGUGAUGUCUGUGCAGCUCCAUGAAUAGAUACAAAACAGGGUACGUAACAGGGUUACUAUAUGAAGGGGCUGCCAUAUCUGCUCUCUUGCUCAUCUGCAGAUUGGUGGAUACACAAUUUCCUCUCCUAAAAGGGAACACAGGUCUAGUGAUGCUCGUGUUCAGGCUACCAGAUUGUCUCUGCUUGAUUUCCAAAAUAUUCCUUCUCUUGCUAUCCUAAAACAGAAGGAAAAAGAUCUGCAGUCCUUGAAAAAAUUCAUUUAUUGUACAUUAGUGGAUGGUUUUGUAAUAAAAGUCCUCAUUGUCAACAUGACAGAACAAACAAGAAACUCCAACAUCCACCAUUCUCAGCAGUGCUAACAAGUUACUGUGCAACACCAGCCUUACUCCCACCACGAGCAGCAGCUGCAUAUUGCUGUGAGCAGCACAUGUUAACUGCAAUAUCUGACAUUUUGCAGACUUUCUACCAUUAACUUGGACACCAAUAGCUUUGUGCCAUGGAAAGGUAGUGACUUGUGCCAUUGUCCCAUACUCUUUCUGUUACUUUUCUUGAGGUCAUAUAUAUUUUAGGUGAGAUACAUGAAUUUCUCAGCUUCUACACACAGCUGCAGACUACAUGUACUGUACUUUUGCUCUGAAAUGAAAAUGCAGUUACAAUUCAGUCCUUCCAUACACAUAACUCAGUAACUCCAAGAGGAAGAGAGGUGUGUGGGUGUAUUGCUAUAACUCUAGUCCACUUUAUAUGUCUCCUCAGAAAUAAAGCUACAUUCCUGGUAUUAGUCUGCUUAAAAUAGAACAAAGUGUUAUUGGAACUUUUUUUUUUUUUUUCUUUUCUUUUUUUUUCUUUCAAAAAUGCAAAACCAGACAGCAUUCCCAAGGAAGCGUGCCCCAGUGUAUUAAGGAUACAGUACUCAAGUGAACAUAAGAGAGUGCUCAUAAAGACAGCACUUGGCAGGGAACAUAUCUCUGGUACACUUUUCUAGUCAAUUUGUGUGUGUACUCACAUUUAGGUACAUGAACACAUAGACACACAGAGUGGAUUUUGUGUGAAACUGACAAGUGGGCAGAGACAUUUUUUGUGUGCUCUUUGGCUUUCGGCAUUCACAUGUGCAUGCAACAGAUUUCUAAGUUGGAUAAUGCAAACUCCAAUAGCAGGAGCCUGGAUUUGUGUAAGCAUGUUAAACCCAUCGCACCUUCCCACUUUUUCCCUCUGCUAUGAAGCUUGUGUAACCUCUCUGACUAUUCUUCCUUGGAGAAAAAUCGUAUGAAGUGUAUAUGUAGAGUGGGUACCCCACAGCACAGACAAAAUUGCAGUCUGGAGGGUACUGAGUGCUAAUUAAACAUCCUUAUAACAUGGAGCUUCACAUUUUUUUUCUCUCUUGCACAGCUGCAUAGCAUGAUACUCUUGAGAUUAUCAGUAAUUUCUUUUCCUUCGCAUGCUAUUGCUUAAUUAUGCAUGCUGUUGGAUGCUGGCAUAUCCAUAGCCAAGCUGAGAUACAGCAACAGAGUGAGUUACCCAAAUUUGUGUUUUACAGUGGUAAUACAGAACUUUGAUGCACAUAUUAAAAA